GCACAUCAGGAACAAAAUUAUUUAGAUUUUAGUUACAGUAUUUCAUGUUCGAAUCCAAGAAAAACGCGCUUUGCACAAUAAACUAAGGAACUGGAGCGUUUGGUUGCAUUUAUUACAUUAUUUUACUGACUUUAUUACUGACAUCCCAGGAUGGAAUGGCUUGCUAGUGAGAUUUUAAGUGGAGCUGAACUGCCCACAGCUGGCAUUAAAUUCGCAUGUGCCUAGUGCAGGUUUCAAACUUCCUGCUAAACAAGAUUUACUCCGAGAUAAACACAACUCGGUAUCAGUUUGCUACGACACGACUUCGCAAUGGGACUUCAUCAGUUUUCGGACGUAUAGCUUCAUUAGCCUGAUGAAGACGGUGGCCAGUGCGGGAAUUAAAGCACAGACUUCGUCGAGUUUGAAUGCGGAUGUUCUCCUCGACGCAUGUGAGUCUGAUAAGGAACUGGAACCUCGGGAUGUGCUCCGUUUAAAGCAGCCGCGCUUCUGCAGAUUUCUGUGACUCGUCAGUGAAGAGGAGAGAAUAAUUUUGAGAGUUGAGCGGGUAUAUUUUCUAUAAAGAAUAAGUUUUUUCGGCAGAAAAAAUACAAAUAAAAAUGGGGAGCACAGUGAUGGACUCCAAGAAAAAGGACUGCACAAAGAAAUCCUCAAAGAAAAAGAGAUCUCUUCGACUAAACAUGCCAAAUUUGGGUACAUUUGCAUCCCCUUUUGUGGAUGGAGAGACAGACAGAUCAGAUGAAGAUGAAAUCCGAAAGGGUGAGAGAAGUGGCUCAGCCAGCCCAACAAGAGGCCCAUGUUUAAGGUAUCCUGUCAGCCUCCCCUGUACCCCAUUUACAGCCCCUGUAUGUCCCAGGAGCAGUCCAGGCUCUCCCAAAACCAUCUUCUCCCGUCUGUCUCACCAGAAUUCGCCUCCCAAAUCUCCCCGUCGUCUCAGUUUCAGUGGUAUCUUCCGCUCCUCGUCCAACUCAGCUCCUGCCAGCAUCAAGCUCUUCUCCAGAUCUAGAAAAGGUUCUGGACUUUCCACUCCCCCCACCACCCCGACGCAGCAUCCAGUUCCACCAGUCUUCCAUUUGGAGACUCCCAGUCCUUCGGAACGUGUGGAGGAACGCCGCACCCGCUCUCUCUCCUCUCCCCCUGAUACAGGUCAGCGCUUCAGCCUGACCCCCUCCUCCACCAAACCCCCUAUCGCCUUGUACACCUCUAACUCUACCUCACGCCAGAGUUGCGGACUUGCUGAAGGCAUGCUGGAAAAACUUGAACUUGAUGAUGAAGCUUCUGAAGAGCCAGACAGUGACAUUUACAUGCGCUUUAUAAAAUCCCACAAGUGCUAUGACCUCAUCCCCACCAGUUCCAAACUAGUGGUCUUUGACACUACACUACAGGUAAAGAAAGCUUUCUUUGCCCUGGUUGCUAAUGGAGUUCGGGCUGCCCCAUUAUGGGAAACAAAAAAGCAAAGCUUUGUGGGAAUGUUAACCAUCACAGAUUUCAUCAUCAUACUGCACAGAUACUACAAGUCGCCGCUGGUGCAAAUAUAUGAGCUGGAGGAGCAUAAAAUUGAGACUUGGAGAGAACUUUACCUGCAAGAAACUUUUAAACCUUUAGUCAACAUAUCUCCAGAUGCAAGUAUAUUCGAUGCUGUUUACUCACUCAUCAAAAAUAAGAUCCAUCGUUUGCCGGUGAUCGAUCCUGUCACAGGAAAUGCCCUGUAUAUCCUCACACACAAGAGAAUCCUCAAGUUUCUGCAGCUCUUUGUGUGUGAGAUGCCUAAACCAGCAUUCAUGAGACAGACUCUAGAGGAACUGGGCAUUGGCACAUACAGCAACAUAGCUUUCAUUCACCCAGACACACCCAUUAUUAAAGCAUUGGGCAUCUUUGUGGAAAGAAGAGUAUCUGCCCUGCCUGUGGUGGAUGUUACAGGAAAAGUUGUGGACAUUUACUCCAAAUUUGAUGUCAUUAACCUGGCUGCUGAGAAGACCUACAAUAACCUGGAUAUCACCGUGACUCAGGCUCUGCUGCAUCGCACACAGUACUUUGAGGGGGUUAUGAAGUGUUACCGGCACGAGACUCUGGAGACAAUAGUGGACAGAAUCGUCAAAGCCGAGGUGCACAGGCUAGUUGUGGUGGAUGAUAACUCCAGUAUUAAGGGCAUCAUCUCUCUGUCUGACAUCCUGCAGGCGCUGGUACUCACCCCCGCAGGUAUAGACGCACAGAAUUCCUAAUCCCACCUUCCAUUUCACUUUCCCUUCUCUCCUUUCAACUUUUCCCCGGACCCACCUCUCAUCUCCCUGGACAUCCUUCACAUGAGUGUCCCUCUCUGACCCCCUGAGCACAGGAGGGACAGUGUGACUGAAUGACAAGACAAAAGACAUUUUUUGGGUGUAAGAGAGAUGCAAGAAACUUUCCACUUUGAGAACCGACUGGUCCAGACAGCGUUCCUAAACCUGAUCCUGAUCUGCACACUGAAGAGAACAGCUGGAAGCACAAAAAUGCAUUGUAGAUCUUCAAGUGCUGAAAUGGGUUUGUGCCCUGAACGAUAUCUGCAGCUGUGGGAAUGGACAUGUGAUCAUAGCGCACAAAUGUUUAUGGUGGGCCAGCCCUCAGAAUCUGCCGCUGCACUGUACACACUGCUCUAAAUGCUGGGCAUGUUUGCAUGGUCAUGCUGCUGGUUUUGAAAUCCCUCACUGACAGCACUAAAUCAGGCCUGAAGAGGAAGUCUCAUUUUGUGUUCCAGCAGGGUCUGUGUUAUAUCAUCAUGCACUGUAAUCCACUCUUGGCUGGGUGUCUGAAGUGGAAACUUGCCUUAAAUGAAGACCUCGCAGAGAGUUGAUGUAUUGGUUAGCUGAGA